rnacentral:rRNA from 1 species
GCUUAUCACCAUUCCAGAUUGAAUAUACCCGCUCUCGUCUGAUCUCAGAAGUCAAGCAAUCUCGGGCUUGGUUAAUACUUGGAUGGGU